rnacentral:rRNA from 1 species
ACUUUCAACAACGGAUCUCUUGGCUCUCGCAUCGAUGAAGAACGCAGCGAAAUGCGAUACGUAAUGUGAAUUGCAGAAUUCAGUGAAUCAUCGAAUCUUUGAACGCACCUUGCGCCCCUUGGCAUUCCGAGGGGCACACCCGUUUGAGUGUCGUGACAU